UACGGAGGGGGCUAGCGUUGUUCGGAAUUACUGGGCGUAAAGCGCACGUAGGCGGAUCAGCAAGUUAGGGGUGAAAUCCCGGGGCUCAACCCCGGAACCGCCUUUAAGACUGUUGGUCUGGAGUCCGAGAGAGGUGAGUGGAAUUCCGAGUGUAGAGGUGAAAUUCGUAGAUAUUCGGAGGAACACCAGUGGCGAAGGCGGCUCACUGGCUCGGUACUGACGCUGAGGUGCGAAAGCGUGGGGAGCAAACAGGG
rnacentral:rRNA from 1 species